AACGAACGCUGGCGGCAUGCCUAACACAUGCAAGUCGAACGAGACCUUCGGGUCUAGUGGCGCACGGGUGCGUAACGCGUGGGAACCUGCCCUUAGGUUCGGAAUAACUCCCCGAAAGGGGUGCUAAUACCAGAUAAUGUCUUCGGACCAAAGAUUUAUCGCCUUUGGAUGGGCCCGCGUUGGAUUAGCUAGUUGGUAGGGUAAAAGCCUACCAAGGCGACGAUCCAUAGCUGGUCUGAGAGGAUGAUCAGCCACACUGGGACUGAGACACGGCCCAGACUCCUACGGGAGGCAGCAGUGGGGAAUAUUGGACAAUGGGCGAAAGCCUGAUCCAGCAAUGCCGCGUGAGUGAUGAAGGCCUUAGGGUUGUAAAGCUCCUUUACCCGGGAUGAUAAUGACAGUACCGGGAGAAUAAGCUCCGGCUAACUCCGUG
rnacentral:rRNA from 1 species